UGCAGUAGAAGGCAGGAAGGACUUAGCAGCAGUCUUCGCUCCAGGGGAGGAAGGGGAACUUGCCAAUUAUAGGGAAAUUGACAUCGGGCGGUCCAUUAGUUACCAGGGAAACCAGCAGAGGGGCAUGCUCCUACCACCUCUUCCAUAAGAACAAGCACCAGCUGGCUCCUGUAUGUAGGACAAUACCUAGAAGUACUGGGGCAAGUACAUAGGAAGGUCAGCCCUGUGAGUAAGGUGUAGGUGAAGCAGGCAUUGGUUGGCCAGCGGAUGCCCAGAGAGCAAGAGAACAGAUGUCUUCAGUGGCCUGACCAUAUAUAAGACAAAAAGAAAAUCAAUGGUACAACUUCAAGUGAAAACCUCCAGGCACAGAGUGCCUCAUCUGUUUUUCAUCCUAUACUCCUUUCUGGGUGCACUGUUGGUGGUCAGCUGCAGUGGAUUACAACUUAACCCUUGUAGAACUGAGUGAGUAUAAAGAAGAUGCUGAAGCUGAAACUCCAAUACUUUGGCCACCUC